CAGAAAAGUGGGUAAUGAGAGAAAGGGGAAGACAAAGGUAAUCAAAGCCAGGAAUCGAACCUGCGACGGCCGCGUUCAGGACCAAGGCCUCCAUAGGUGGGUUGUGCUUAACCCCUGCGCCGCCACAGCACCCAUUCUGCCACCUUUCUAAAACAAAACGAAGGUUCUUCCUGAUGUUUAGAAUACAGUUUCACACACUGCCAAGAGCAUUUUCCUCCCGUCUGCUGUGCCAACACAAUCUGCAUGCUGUAUACUCCCAGUCGGGAAUGUCAAGGUUGUCUCAUUUCUUUCCCUUGCCCUGACAUCAGCAGGUCUCUUUAUGAAACAAAUGUUGCCUCUGCAAAACUCCCAUUGACCGUUCGUUUCCUCUAUUGACGUAUUUGGAUGAGAAGGUAGUGAUAAAGGAAGAGGCCAGCUUCUGUCAAGGUGAGGAUGCUUUUUUCUUUUAUUUUCUUUUUUGGUAGUCCAGCAGAGGUGAGGGCCUGUGAAAUGAGCUUAUCUGACCCCUGAUAAGAACAGGAUACCCUCAGGAAUGGCCUAAAUUCAAUACAUAUGGCUUGCCCUGGGAUGCAGUUGUUUGGAAAGGAGAAUUACUGUAGAAGCAAACGGUCUUACAUAGAAGACCAUGGUAUCUAUCUCUAGGCGAGUAAAAUGUUUGCUUUAUGUUCCUGUAAUCCCCCAAAAAAGUCAUCUAGAGAAUGAUUCCAAUCAGCAACCUCAGCUCCUAAAUCAUUUAGUCAGGUCUUCUGCCACACAGGAAGCCGUCUUAUUACCUCUGGAAGCAGCACAAAGAUUUACUGAGCUCAUGUUUGAUGACAGCACACAACAAAGGAGCCAUACUUGUGUGUAUGUGGGGGUGUGCGUGCGGGUGUGCUUGUGUGCCAAAUCGUGUCGGUUUAAACCUGAGCUGUUUGCAUGCAAAAACAAAUCACUUUCGCAUUCUCUUAAUGUCUGGAUCCAAACAGGACGCGUCACGUCUUGUUCUCUUUAUUUGGACUCAAACAACCUCUUAGUCACCGUCUGCUGCAUCGGAUACAGUUUCCUUCCCUACAUCAGUCGUCAUGUCAAUUUAAUUGCCAAAUUGAUUUGUUGUUGACUACUGAACCAGCCCUGAGAUGAGCAAUAGGGCCCCAAGUGGACAAGCUGGUCUGGUUGGGCUUCAGUCAGAAAAUCAAAACUAAAGAACAAUGUCAUUGACAAAAGGAAAGGAGGUGGAUUAGUGGUGCUUUCCAACAGCUGAUGUCGUCCAGGACAUGAUACAGUGGAAAAUUGUCUGCUGCCUGAAAAUUGAGCUGUUAGCAUCUCAUGACAGUCAACAGAUAGCAACGCCCCUCAAUCAAAGUCAUUGCAGGACCGACCACUACCGAAAAUCCUUGGCACCCACAUCAUCAUUGUCCACAAUGACGAUCUGAAGAUGACAGAAAGCAAGGAGAGCACUAAACAGAAGUAAUUUGCCGAACACCAGCAGAGCCGAGAAAUCAUCAGCACCGAGCUGACGGCUUCCCUCCGACAGGGUCCGCUUCAGGGCUCUGGUGUUAUCAGUCUGAGUCACUUCACAUAAAUCAAAGUGCCUUCCACUGCCGUGACUGCUUCUCCCAUCUGCAGCCAGCACAUCUGGCUGCAGAUGGGAGAAACUGCUUCGGCCGGAGCUGCGCACAAAUCACAACUCUCGUGGAAUGUCAUGUCCACGCCGCAGCCAGCCUUCUGCGAGGACAAGACGCAGACGGGUCGAGUAGCGGAGACAGACUGCACGUCAACCUUGCCUUGUGGCUUCUGUCUGACAGAUUCUGUCUUCCCUGUUUAGCUAAUAAAAGCGGCGGGUGGCUUGAAUCAGACUCUCACAUAAACACUGAACUCAAUUGUGGAUGUGCUGUGUAAGCUGUGCUUCAGAAGCACGUACUUAUGGCUGACUGGGUUUAUUUUUUUUGCCGCUUAUCUGAAGAGAGACACUGGUCUGUAUUUGCAUGAGACGGUGUGUGGCUGUACCAUGUGUGGUCAAGCUGGAGAGAAUGACAAUCCCUCUGGACCAUUUAGAUUUCAAACUCUCAUGUGCAGCAUCGACUUGUGUCCACACUGUCACCUUGAACGUUCGCUGAACAUCAAAAUAAAACACCUUUAACUUUCCAACGGACCUUGUCUGCGAACGUUCAGCCAACAUCUGGCCAACGUCCAGCCAGUGUUCACUGUUGAUGUUUCAUUUUGCCCUUUGCCGAAUGUUGUCUGCAGUCGUUGAAAGUUUGCAGACAACACUUUGCCGAACGUCAUAUUGGCCUGGAUUAAUGACAUUGAAGACUAUGAAGGCAAAUGUAUUGAUAGAAAAAUAACACUUUAUUCUACUAUACAUGAAUGUACAUAGGAGAUAUCAUCAGUAAAACGUUCAUCCGAAAAAUACUGCUUAAGAGUAUCAAUUUUAAUGCAGUAGGUUUUGGAAUAAAGAAUGCAUAAAAAUAAUGAUAAGAGGAAGAAGAAGAAGAAAUAACUGAGAAAAUGUCAGCAUUUUAAAACAUCCAUUACUUAGAUAAAUACCAUAUGAUAUUUCCAAAACCUUAAUGCUGUGACGAUACAUACGUUUACUGUUGGCUGAUCUAAAAUUAUUUUUUUAAAUUGGCAAGAAAUAAAGAAAAUCAUUCUUAUCUACCAAUCUGGAAAGAGCUACAGAGCUAUUUUUGAAGUUUGGGGGAUCCAACAAACCACAUUAAGCCAACAAGUGGCUAAAACAGGAACAGUGGAGAAAGAUGUGGCAGGUGUCUGAACCACCAAAAUUAUUCCAAAAAUUUAUCUUUUUCUAAUAAUGAAACUCGUUUGAUGAUCCAAAACGUUUAAGUCUGACAAAAAGAUCAAAACAGAGGAAACGUGUAAGGGGGCAAAUAACUUUUUCAAGUCAGAUUGCAUAGAGAUUUUUGAGGAUUACAUUGUAUUUAGUUCCAUCUCUGUCCAUCUUCCUUCCCUGCUGAAUAAAGGCAUCCCUACACAAUGA